CUAAGAUCCAGAAACUAAUGCAUUUUUUAUCAGAAACAAUAAUACAUUCACAUAAAACUCUAGUAUCCACAAGGUGGUGGUGGAAUACCAUUUGAGUGAUGAAACAAGCUGCACUUCAUUGCCCACCACAGUUUCAAUAAAAAAGGGGCAAAGAUGCAUACCUGAACCUUAGAUAAACCUCAAAUCCCAAAGAUUGCCCUAAUCAAGCAAGGGAUCAGUAACAAUGGCAACAACGAGGUAAUAACGAGAGAGAGAGAGAGAGAGAGAGAGAGAGAUUGAAAGAAGGCAGCAGCAAUGGGGCAGAAAGAGGGAGAUUGAGUGAGAGGCGAUAUGCUUUUGGUGCAAGCAAUGGGGCAGCAAAGAGGGAGAUUGAUUGAGGGGCGAGAUAGUUUGGAUUAGCCAAUCUCUGAUAGAGGUUUGCAGCAGCAAAGAGGGAGAUUAGAGAGUGCAAGAUAGAUUGAGAAGAGAGAGAGAGAGAGUUGGGUAGAGCGAGGGGCAACAGAGAGAGAUUGACAAGAGAGAGAGUUGCCGUGGAGCGAGAGGAGAGACAGUAGAGAGAGAGGGAGAGGGAGAGAGAGCUGGAGAAGAGAGAGAGUUAUCAUGGAGAGCCAUCAUUGCUGAUGAGAGACAGCAGGAGUGAGAAAGAGGGAGAGACAGAAGAGACAUCAGGAGCGAAAAAAGAGAGAGUUAUCGUGGAGAGAGAGUGAGAGUUGUCGUCUCUACAAAUGUAUCGUCGAGAGAUUGCCGUUGCCAUACAGGUGCAAGGCGCGAGCGGCGUAUUGAAUCGUGUGUGUGUUGCA
rnacentral:lncRNA from 1 species